AUGCUGCUGCGCAAGUACGGACUCGCCGCCGACAACGUCCUGGACGCCACGCUCGUCGACGCCAACGGGGAGCUCGUGGACAAGCAAGCCAUGGGGCCGGACGUGUUCUGGGCCAUCCGCGGGGGCGGCGGCGGCGGGAGCUUCGGCAUCGUGCUGUCGUGGAACGUGAAGCUCGUGCCAGUCCCGCCGACGGUGACGAUGUUCACCGUCCUAAAGUCCGUCCACGAGGGCGCGGUGCGCAUGCUCACCAGAUGGCAGCAGGUCGCUCCGGCUCUCCCCGAGGACAUUUUCAUCACGGUGCGCCUCCAAAAACAGGUGGCUCGCUUCCAGUCCAUGUACCUGGGCACGUGCGACGCGCUGCUGCCGCUGAUGGGCAGCCGCUUCCCGGAGCUCGGCGUGAACCGGACGCACUGCAGGGAGAUGACAUGGAUCCAGUCCGUGCCCUACAUCUACCUGGGCGCCACCGCCGCCGUGGAGGACAUCCUGAACCGGACCACCUCCAGCACCCCCUUCAGCAAGGCUACCUCCGACUACGUCCGGCAGGCCAUCGCCGAGGACGUGUGGGCGGAGAUCUUCGCCCGGUUCGCCAAGCCGGAGGCCGGGCUGAUGAUCAUGGACCCCUACGGCGCCAAGAUGAGCAGCCUCCCGGAGACGGCGACGCCGUUCCCGCACCGCGGCGGCGUGCUGUACAACAUCCAGUACAUGAACUUCUGGUUCGCCGCCACGGACGGGUCGGCGCAGACGAGGUGGCUCAGAGACAUGUACGCGUUCAUGGAGCCGUACGUGAGCAAGAACCCCAGGGGUGCGUACGUGAACUACAGGGACCUCGACCUCGGUCAGAAUGUCGUUGUGGGCAACGUGACCAGCUACCAGGCCGGUAGAGUUUGGGGCGAGAAGUACUACGGAGGUAACUUCCAGAGGCUUGCCAUGGCCAAGGCCAUGGCGGAUCCUGACGACUACUUCAGGAACGAGCAAAGCAUCCCACCAUUCAGCGAGUGA
rnacentral:rRNA from 1 species